UACGAAGGGGGCUAGCGUUGUUCGGAAUUACUGGGCGUAAAGCGCACGUAGGCGGAUAUUUAAGUCGGGGGUGAAAUCCCGGGGCUCAACCCCGGAACUGCCUUCGAUACUGGGUAUCUUGAGUUCGGAAGAGGUAAGUGGAAUUGCGAGUGUAGAGGUGAAAUUCGUAGAUAUUCGCAGGAACACCAGUGGCGAAGGCGGCUCACUGGUCCGAUACUGACGCUUAGGUGCGAAAGCGUGGGGAGCAAACAGG
rnacentral:rRNA from 1 species